AAGGAAGCUGCGGUGGCACCUAAAAAUACAGCCAAGGCUACGGAGGCUGUUGAACCAAUUAAAGGUGCUGCAGUUGACGGUGAGCCAAAAGUCUUGGCUUCCAAAGCAGAAACGGCCUCAACCACGCAGAUUUGUAUUUAGAUCAGCUGGGUAAUUUGCAUCCUAUCUAAACUACCACUAUUGAACUUAACUACAUUUCCUUUAUUCCAAGACUCUGUGACUGCAGAGAAGAUCUCAAAGGAUCAGCCGGUCGCUGUUACCCACCCAACAUUUUGGGAGCGGAUACAAGAGCAACUGCGUCCAGAAAGAAUCCGUUGUCUCAAGACAGUCAAACUUCCCAAUUCAAAGCUUGUUUCGCUUGAUUACAAGGUGCUGUUAAUAAGCAACCUGCCAGAGUAUCACGAUGGCUGUUACGCAGAGGAGGACAUCGCCGGUCUGCUCACUCGACACCGAUUUGAGUAUUACGACGACACGAUCUACGUUAUACCACAGGCACGCAUGGCUUUUGCCCUCAUGCCGACAGCAGUGGCAGCUAAAAACAUCGUGCUAGCAUCAGAAAAUCACGAUUUUAUUCUCAGUGGUUCUAAACUUCGACUGCAGGUUGAGAAGGGCAACAUUUUAAUGACGCCGCUUGAGUUUUAUAAGUCUCUGAUGAAACGGCUAUGCUAUGUAAGUAACGCACAUAUCUCAGAAACAAAGACUGCACUCGAAUACCUUUAGAUUUAUUGGUCAGAGUAUAAAGUCAUAACUGGAAGCACUCACAUCCAAGUCAAAACACCUUGAAAAAUGGGGAC
ensembl:lncRNA